ACGGGGUGCAGCAGGCGCGAAACCUCCGCAAUACGCGAAAGUGUGACGGGGUUACCCAAAGUGUUCAAUUUUGAACUGUGGUAGGUGAGUAAUGUUCCCUACUAGAAAGGAGAGGGCAAGGCUGGUGCCAGCCGCCGCGGUAAAACCAGCUCUUCAAGUGGUCGGGAUAAUUAUUGGGCUUAAAGUGUCCGUAGCCGGUUUAGUAAGUUCCUGGUAAAAUCGGGUAGCUUAACUAUCUAUAUGCUAGGAAUACUACUAUACUAGAGGGCGGGAGAGGUCUGAGGUACUGCAGGGGUAGGGGUGAAAUCUUAUAAUCCUUGUUGGACCACCAGUGGCGAAGGCGUCAGACUGGAACGCGCCUGACGGUGAGGGACGAAAGCCAGGGGAGCGAACCGGAUUAGAUACCCGGGUAAUCCUGGCCGUAAACGAUGCAUACUAGGUGAUGGCACGGCCAUGAGCCGUGUCAGUGCCGUAGGGAAACCGUUAAGUGUGCCGCCUGGGAAGUACGGUCGCAAGGCUAAAACUUAAAGGAAUUGGCGGGGGAGCACCACAAGGGGUGAAGCCUGCGGUUCAAUUGGACUCAACGCCGGAAAACUUACCAGGGGAGACAGCAGUAUGACGGUCAGGUUGACGACCUUACCUAACGAGCUGAGAGGAGGUGCAUGGCCGUCGCCAGUUCGUGCCGUGAGGUAUCCUGUUAAGUCAGGCAACGAACGAGAUCCGCACCUUUAUUUGCCACCAAGAAGUCACGACUUCGUUGGGA
rnacentral:rRNA from 1 species